UACGGGGGGGGCAAGCGUUGUUCGGAAUUACUGGGCGUAAAGGGCUCGUAGGCGGCCAACUAAGUCAUACGUGAAAUCUCUCGGCUUAACCGGGGAACUGCGUCUGAUACUGGAUGGCUUGAGUUCGGGAGAGGGAUGCGGAAUUCCAGGUGUAGCGGUGAAAUGCGUAGAUAUCUGGAGGAACACCGGUGGCGAAGGCGGCAUCCUGGACCGAUACUGACGCUGAGGAGCGAAAGCCAGGGGAGCAAACAGG
rnacentral:rRNA from 1 species